GCUGCGGCGGGUGUAACACAGGCAUGGAAAAGUCAAUCAUUAAAAUAUCGUGACAGAAAGAGUCAACAGAUUAACACCUCGAUAACUACAAACAUUAAGAAGUUUUGUCUACCAGUGUGGAAUUGGCACACUUGUAAAAUUUCCCCGUAGCAAUAUGGCCCCCAGCAGGGCCCCACUGCCAGCUUCAGUGGCUCACAGUCCAUCGCCAAGCGGCUACACAGACAACUUGCAGAUAACACAAUAAAAAAAUAUAGAUAUACCUACAUUAUUUGGUUCAUUGGUAUUAUUUUACAUUUUUUUUUUUCGCUGCUCAUAACGGACUUUCAGCAUUAACGGACUAAGGUCCGCCCCAAUUAGUCCGUUAUAUCGAGGGUUUGCUGUAAAAUGGAAGCAUGUCUGUGAUGUCACACCUGACCGAGCAAUCUCGCGUGAGAAAAGUUAAUCGUCAACUCUCCUCUCUUUCUCGCUGAUCACCUCCAAGCUUUCUCGCCAGUACCUGCCAGUGUGGCCAACACCUCCAUUGCUUAUAUUGUGUAUUAAAGUUUCUUGCCCUCGCUCACUCUGUGGCCUAAGAGAAGGUAGGGGAAUUUAGGGGCUGUUUUGGGACUGAAGGAGAAGAAGAGCGAAGGAAAGAGGCUGAAAUGAGAGAUACAGGGUGUUAGGAUGCUAUUGGUCUAAAAAUGGACUGAUUUAGGGCUGUUUAGGGGGCUGAGGGGACUGAGAAAGAGCAUAGAGGAAAGGGAAGGGCUAUAAGGUUGCUAUUGGGGCUGAAAGAUUGAGUGUAAGGGAAGGGCUGAGAAAGUGAGGGCUGAUUAUGGGUCUGAGAGAGAGGGUAGAGGGAAGGAAAGGGGCUGAAAUGAGAGAUAAAAGUGAGAAAGGGGGCUGCCAGGAUGCUAUGGGUUCAAGAAAAGGGUCCUUUUUGGCUUUGUAAGGCUGUUUAAGGGCUUGUAUAGAGGGAAGAAAAGGGCUGUCAUGAGAGGGGGCUGAGGUGGUGUUUGUAAGGAAGGGGCUGCCACAGGGUGAAGAAAAUGAAGGGGCUGUGGCAAUAAGGGAAGGAAGGGGCUGGAAAAGUGAAGGGAAGGGAAGGGAGGGGCUGGAAAAGUGAAGGGAAGGGAAGGGAGGGGCAGUUACAAAAGGUGGCUGAGAGAGAGGCUGGUGGAGGAGGCGGUGGCUGAGUGGAUAGUGUGACGGUGCUGCGUUCAGGACGACGCGAGGUCAAUCCCCGCCCGGUGCCACAAGCUGGGAUUUUUGAGCCACCGCCGAGAGGCCUAAGACUACCCACAUGCUGCCCAGAAGACCACCUAUCAACCCGGACUCUAGAUUCUAGGAUUAAAGAUGAGCUCCAGGGGGCAGCAUGAGCCAGUGUAAGAUGGCGCCACUAUAAACACUUGCCUGCGCCACAACGGGCUGGGCCGACCAUCACUGACACGAAGGAAGGCCUACCGGCGCAACAGGCGUAGACGUCAAAAAAUAAAAAAUAAAAUAAAUCAAAAAUCAAAACAAGGCAAGGUUGGAGCACUGGGAUAAGUGUACACACUUUAACAAGGAGAAAUCUGCCACAAACAUUAUGACGGGAAUGUUUACAUGGAUUUACAGGUCAUGAGAGGUCAGGAACAGGAUGUUAAGUCAAGGGCUAAAGGGACACACAUAUAUAUUGCUGAAAAAACACAGACUGAGACUUUGAAAUAAAUUGGUUCACAAAAAAUAA